UGCCAGCAGCCGCGGUAAUACGGAGGGUCCUAGCGUUGUUCGGAAUGACUGGGCGUAAAGGGUACGUAGGCGGUUUGGUCAGUUAGAUGUGAAAGCCCAGGGCUCAACCCCGGAAGUGCACUUGAAACAGCAAGACUUGAAUACGGUAGAGGAGAGAGGAAUUCCUGGUGUAGAGGUGAAAUUCGUAGAUAUCAGGAGGAACACCGAUGGCGAAGGCAUCUCUCUGGGUCGAUAUUGACGCUGAGGCGCGAAGGCGUGGGUAGCGAACAGGAUUAGAUA
rnacentral:rRNA from 1 species